AUUCUUACCUGGCAGGGGAGAUAUCGUGGCCAUGAAGAUAGUUUUCGCAUGGCAAGACUUAGCCAUCACACUCUGGGUGUGCUGACCCUGACAACUUCCCAAAUGUGGGAAACUCAACUGCAUAAUUUGUGGUAGUGGAGAAUUAUAUUUGACUCUCCC